UAGUUUAUAUCUUAAUGGUAAAGAGAACGAUUGAUAAUCGUUAGAUAUAAGUUCGAUUCUUAUUAAACUAA